rnacentral:rRNA from 1 species
GACAGAGGGGGCAAGCGUUGCUCGGAAUCACUGGGCGUAAAGGGCGCGUAGGCGGGACGCCAAGUCGGUCGUGAAAUCUCCGGGCUCAACCCGGAGGAGUCGGCCGAAACUGGUGUUCUUGAGGGAGGCAGAGGAGUCUGGAAUUCCCGGUGGUAGCGGUGAAAUGUGUAGAGAUCGGGAGGAACACCGGUGGCGAAGGCGGGACUCUGGGCCUACCCUGACGCUGAGGCGCGAAGGCGUGGGGAGCAAACGGG